ACUCUGUUGCUGCACCUAAUUGCUCAGAGAGCACUCACUGCCACGUUUAGUAGCCAGGGAUCAAAGAUGACUAUGUUUGACUAGAGCUGUAUUGAAAACCAGAACGUUUCAAGUGGUGCAACUGACCCUUGAGAUAACCAGUACCAACUACUGCUCUGCACAAACUGUAGGCACUCUCAGCAGUAGCUGCCAUAUGUGUCAUUCCUCCCCCAGAGAAGAUGCCCGCUUCCUUCCCCUGCCUUUAGUAGCAGUUAAAGCUCCCCUGGGAGCAACCACAUCAAACCUUGAUGUGAAAGAUGUAAAGCUACCAACAUCUAUUUUUGAGUUCUGUCUGAACUCAGAGCAAAAAAAACCUGUCUCAUUUUUGUUUUCUGAAAAACUUAUUUAGAAAAGAGGUGCUAUUCAAGAAGGCCCACCAGACCAACAGCUAGAUUUUGGACUUAGGACUUCUGGCUAAAUACCUUGUCUACUGAAGUACAGAACAAGACUUUCCCAUAAUCUCUCCUCCACAGUCAUUAGUGUUCACGUAAAUAAUUAAGUGUUGAUGGAAGAAUGAAAAAAAAAAAAGAGAGACAUUCAGUCUAGAUGCAUCUAGGAAGUGUGAGAACCUAUUCGAGCCCUUUUCCAAACCUUUCAGACCACUAGGUCCUGGAUAUUCCAGGGAGACAUUUUUUCCCCCUCUUCUAAUUGCACCCUGGCUCUGGGAUGGUUUCAAAUUCAAAACAGUAUAUUUCUAUGGGUCACUUUUCAGAGAAUUUGCUGCAUUAGCAGAAUCUGAACUUUUCCAAAGGAGCCUCUACCAGAGCACGUUUCAGCCGAAGUUCUCCAGCGGUGUAGUCUGUGUGCGUGCUAACAAUCCCCACUGCCUGUUCUCACUGGCAAAGAGUUAGAACAACUUUUGACCCCAAGUUUGCUGGAAGGUAUGAGUUAAAUGAUCAUCUUCGGUUCCUACUUUUCCUACAAACAAGGUCUAACCAAUAGCUUAUAAAUUCAGCAGGGAGCAGAUACUUGGAAAUAAGAAAUGAUAGAUGAGAUGGGAUAUAGAGGAACUUAUGUAAAGCAAGCUAGAUUAAUUCCUGAGAUCCUUUGUAUUCUAAGGUGGAGAGAAACAGUGCUGGCACAUUGACAAGAAUAAGACUAUGAGGGCACAGCUGACAUCCAAAGUUUGAAAAGUGUAGAAAAAACAUCAAGGAAGGUGAGGAAUUAUUUGAAGAUGCAGAAAAAAGGACAUUGUAAGUAAGCUAAGGAAAUUAAAAAUUAAUUUUAACGUCCUUAAUUAAACAAAAAAAAAUAAUGAAAAGAUGGCUGAAUACAAAUGUAAACUGGUUAUUUAAGAGAUUUGGGUUCACUUCUGCCAGGCAUAAACUGCUUCCUCUGCUGCAAGGAGUAAGUCUAAAAUAUCAUAUGUUGAGAGCCUAGGGUAGGCUAGAGAAGUUGGAAGACGUGAAAUAUAAAAGUCUCGUUUAA